UAAGCGGAGGAAAAGAACUAACAAGGAUUCCCCUAGUAGCGGCGAGCGAACCGGGAGAAGCCCAGCUUGAGAAUCCCGUCGUCUCGAUUUGCGGCGGGAGCUGUAGUCUGGAGAAGCGUCCUCUGCAGCGGACCUGGCCUAAGUCCCCUGGAAAGGGGCGUCAGAGAGGGUGAGAACCCCGUCGGGCCGGGAGCCUGCUGCUCCACGAGGCACUGUCGACGAAUCGGGCUGUUUGGGAAUGCAGCCCUAAGUGGGAGGUAAAUUCCUUCCAAGGCUAAAUACGGGCGGGAGACCGAUAGCGAACAAGUACCGCUAGGGAAAGAUUAAAAGGACUUUGAAAAGAGAGUUAAAAAGUGCUUGAAAUUGCUGGGAGGAAACGAAUGGAAGCCUCAUGUGCGCCCCGGUCGGAUGCGGAACGGCGUGCACUGGUCCGCCGCUCGACACCGGGCGCUUGUCCGCGUUGGCUUUUUUUUAUUUCCGGCGGGAUAAAUUCGUCCUUUUUGUCGGGCCCGCCGAUGCGUUCCGGGAAGCCCAAGAAUCAAUUCGCGCCCUUUGUUAAAUUUGGCCGCUCCCCCCUCCGGGGGAGCACCUGCGCACUCGGGACGNCGGCGUAGUGGGCUUUUCAUCCGAGCCGUCGUGAAACACGGACCAAGGAGUCUAACAUGCAUGCGAGCCGUUGGGUGCCAAAGGCAAACAAAACGCUUAUGUUUUUGGAGGCCCAAAUAACUUGAUAAGGUGUGAUCCUCCCUCUCUCUCGAGGAGGGGUGCAACAUCGACCGACCAUGAUCUUCUGUGAAAGGUUCGAGUAAGAGCAUCCCUGUUGGGACCCGAAAGAUGGUGAACUAUGCCUGAACAGGGCGAAGCCAGAGGAAACUCUGGUGGAGGCUCGUAGCGAUACUGACGUGCAAAUCGUUCGUCAGACUCGGGUAUAGGGGCGAAAGUCUAAUCGAACCAUCUAGUAGCUGGUUCCCUCCGAAGUUUCCCUCAGGAUAGCUGGAGCACGAGGAGUUUCAUC
rnacentral:rRNA from 1 species